CCACUAGAUACACAGUUGGGCUUAAUGGGCAGCAUGGCAGGGCGACACAGCUGGGAAGAUGGUGCAGCAGUUAAUGCUUAAGUAUAAUAGUGAUGCGUGCGGUUAGCAGUGAGCGGAACAGGUCCUGACGAUGGAGGUUCCUGUUAGGAAAUAUGCAACUUGUAUUCCCAUGAGGCCAUAGGCCGAUAUAUAUACAUGUACAGGUGUGGACUAUAUGCCGGAAACCCAUUAUACAAUGGGAUAAGUACGAAGGGGUACAUGGCUAUAUUAUAUACUCCCUCUGUUCCUAAAUAUAAGUCUUUCUAGAGAUUCCACUAUUGAACUACAUACGGAUGUAUAUAGACAUAUUUUAGAGUGUCGAUUCACUCAUUUUGCUCCGUAUGUAGUCCCCUAUUGGAAUGUCUAAAAAGACUUAUAUUUAGGAACGGAGGGAGUAUACUCUAACACCCCCCCUCCUCAAACUCAUGGUGGAUGAACAACACUGAGUUUGGAGAGAUAGAAGCCAUGUUGCUCUCUAGUCUGGGCAUUCGUCAGAAAAUCCGUCAACUGUAACUCUGAAGGCACAUACUGAAGAGCAAUAACCUGAUACUGCACACCAGCACGCACAUAGAAAGCAUCAACACCAAUGUGCUUGGUGAGCUCAUGCUUCACAGGAUCGCUCGCAAUGCUGAUAGCACCUGUACUGUCAGAUAAGAGCAGAGUAGGUGUAGUGACAGAAACACCAAAAUCCUGAAGUAACCAUCGUAACCAAGUCACCUCUGCCGUCAAAAGAGCCAUCGCUCGCAACUCAGCCUCUGCAUUCGAACGUGAAACUGCGGUCUGUUUCUUCGUCUUCCAGGCAAUGAGAGGACCACCAAGAAAAACACAGUAAGCAGAAAGUGAACGGUGAUCUGAAGGAUCACUAGCCCACGUAGCAUCCGAAUAGGCCUGAAGCUGUAAAGAACUGGAGCGAGGAAAGAAUAGACGGUGGGAGAUCGUGCCCCGAAGAUAUCGGAGAACACGAAGGAGGUGACUAUAGUGAACCGAGGUGGGAGCGGAGACAAACUGACUCAGAAUAUGAACCGGAUAAGAGAUAUCCGGACGAGUGACAACUAGAUAGACAAGACUGCCAACAAGAUGAUGAUAACGCGUCGGUUCAGGCAGGGGGUCACCAUCAAUAUCACGGAGGUGAACAUUGAGCUCCAUGGGAGUCUCAACAAUGCGCUCGUUAGUAAGAGCAGCACGAGCAAGAAGAUCCUGGAUAUACUUCUCCUGGGAUAUAAAAAAACCAUCAGAGGUAGAAGAGACUUCAAUCCCAAGAAAGUAGCGAAGAGGUCCAAGAUCAGACAUAAGAAACUGCUCACUAAGACGGGCCUUUACAAAGGCAAUAUACUCGGGGUCAUCACCAGUGAUGAUCAUGUUAUCAACAUAGAGAAGAAGAAGAGUCCGACCAUGAGGAGAAAGGUGGACAAUCAAUGCUGGAUCAUGAGCACUGGCUGAAAAACCAGCGGCAGUUACCACAGAGGCAAAACGCUCAAACCAGGCGCGGGGGGCUUGCUUAAGGCCAUAGAGAGAGUGACGAAGACGACAUACCAUGCCAUCAGGAACAAAAUACCCAGGUGGUGGCUGCAUGUACACCUCCUCACGCAGCUCACCAUUAAGAAAGGCAUUUUUAACAUCAAGCUGAGAUACAGACCAGUGGCGUGCAGAGGCCACGGCAAGAAGUGUACGAAUAGUGGUCAUAUGGGCCACAUGAGCAAAAGUCUCAUCGUAAUCACGACCAUGUGAGCCACAAGACGAGCUUUAUAACGCUCAAGAGAACCAUCAGAGCGAGUCUUAACCUUGUAGACCCACUUACAAGUGAUGGGACGGACACUGGGGGGAAGGGAAACAAGAUCCCAUGUACCAGUGCGUUCAAGAGCAGCAAUCUCCUCUGCCAUCGCAAACUGCCAUUCAGGAUGAACAACAGCCUGACGAUAGGAAGUCGGCUCAAGAACAGCAGCACCAGUGGUGGGAAAUCCAAGGCGAUCAACAGGCGGAUGAGGACGAGAACACAAGCCAUAGGUAGGCUGAGACGAGGAUGACGACACAUCCGCAGAGGCAUCCACAUGACGUGAACGACGAGUGUAACACUGAGGAAAAGAUGGAAUAAUGCAAGGAGGGAUCGCCAAGGUAGAAUCGGGGGGUGAAGACGAAGAAGACACCGGAGAUGAAGGUGCAGAAUCCAGUGGCAUGCUAGGGGAGGAAACCGUGGGAGAUGGUGGUGGCAAAUCGGCAAGAGGUGGAGAAGCAGAGGUAGCGGAACGAAUAGACAAAGGCUCGAUGGGGGUGAUAGGUGUGUCAGGGAAAGUGAGGAAAGAGAUAUCCUCCACUGAAAAGGUUGAGGAAGAUGGGCGCGGGUAGAAGGGACGAGACUCAUCAAAAGUCACAUCCCGAGAGAUACGCAUCCGACGACCGAUAGGAUCCCAACAACGAUAGCCCUUAUGCUCAUCACUAUAGCCUAAGAAGACACACUCAACAGACUGAGCAGUUAGUUUGGUGCGUUCUCAAGGGGCAAGAAGAACAUAGCAAACACAACCAAACAAGUGAAGCAUCGAAUAAUCGGGAGAAUAAAAAAGACGCUCGAAAGGAACACCACCCUGUAGAGCAGCAGAAGGUUGUAGAUUGAUGAGAUAGGUGGAGCCGUGGAGAUGGAGACGGCCUCAGCCCAAAAAUGAGUCGUGAGAGAGGCAACAAUCAUCAAUGCACGAGCCGUCUCAAGAAGGUGACGAUGCUUGCGCUCAGCCACGCCAUUCUGAGCGUGAGCACCAGGACAAGAGAAUUGAGAAAGACAUGAAAAGAAGCUCCAGAGUCCAGAACCCAUGGGGAUGUACCUGACUAUGUAGAAGGUGGUUGCUCAGUGCGGGAAGCAUCAGUCACAGAACCAGCAGUACCCGUCGAGGAAGAACCUGAAGCAGCGAGCAAACGCUUAAGUCUCAGAAUAUCCUGCUCAGUCAAAGCGGUGGCUCAAGAUGUCGAGGUACUAGACGAAGUCCCUGAAGAUGAUGAUCGCGCCUUACGCAUGUGUUUCUUCUUCUUGAAGCACUGAGACUCGACAUGACCAUCCAGGUUGCAGUAGCCGCAAUGUGGAUGGGGGCGGCCUGAGCCGCUAGGAGGAAUGGGCAAGAGUGGCGGAGCACUCGAGCGAAAAGGAGUCGGUGCAGCAUGUGGCGUAGUGGGAGCUUGAGCAACGAGCACAGAGGGAACCUCGAGUAAACCAGCGCCACGUAAGCGAGUCUCCUCAGCACGAAUCUCAGAAAACGCCUCCAUGAGAGAAAUAUGACCACGAGCAAACAACUGAGCACGUCGGGGCUCAAACUCCUUACGGAGCCGAGACAAGAACUCGUAGACACGAUGAAACUCCAAAUUGGCUUGCACAGCCUGGCAACACGGGCAAGUACACCAGCACUGCGGAGAGAAUCAAGCUGGCGCGAGAUAGCAGAACUCUGUGCAUAGGAAUCAUCAACAGUGGAGUCACCCUGCUGAAGAGCAUGCUCCCGACGGACCACAGAGAGGUAUAAGGCAUCAAAGGGCUCAUAGCGCUGACGAAGACAGGUCCACAUCUCAAAGACACUAGGAAGACCCAAAAACUCAGAGGCAAACUAAGGCAGAAUACUAGCAGUGAGAACAGCUGCAGCACGAGCAUCAUCAUCAAGCCACUGGGUGUAAACAAACAGAGCACCAUGAUACGCCUGAAGAGCCUCCUCAUAAGUCAAAAACUGCUCAUCAUAAGCACGAACAACAGCCUCAUCAGCAAGCUUAGCUGCAUCCUUCGCAGCCUGAUUAGCAUCCACAGGAAGAACCCGUGGCGUCGGCGUAGUGGGGGCCACAGGAGGAACCGGACGUGGUGGACAACGGACCUCGCCAGAAAGAACGCCCCAUAGACGGAUGCUACGCAUAUGAAUGUGCAUGAAGCCAACGAACUCGAUGUAGUUAGUGCCAUCAAAAAUCACCGGACAACGAGGAACAACAACAUAACCCGAUGCAACAGACAUUUUAUUAAGGAAUAUGCAGCUCUCCCGGCGGCAGUAGAGAUCACGAGAAACAGCAGAGAGCAGGGACAGGUUCAGGCGAGACGACGGGGAGGAGCAACGGUCGGCGAGAUCCGGCGAGAUCUAGCAGUUGGCGGCUGGAUUGGGACAACCCGCAGUGCGAUCCAGAGCGGGGUUGGUGACGGGGUUAACUGCGAGCGGGUUGGAUCGAUCUGGGCAGGCUUGAUGGAGUCAAACCAGAGGAAGACGACGGGUUGGAUCGCAGCUGGUGUCUUCCUUCGAGUUCUGAUGGAUUCGAUCCAGAGGGAGAGCAGCGGCUUCAAUUCAGAAGGAACGGGGAGGACGUGGAGAACCAGCUGCUGCUGCGAGAGAAAAGCAGCGGCAGCGGCCACGGAGGAUUAAUCACACGAGUUGCAACGUGCAAAAAAUUGACCUAGCUCUGAUACCAUGUUAGGAAAUAUGCAACUUGUAUUCCCAUGAGGCCAUAGGCCGAUAUAUAUACAUGUACAGGUGUGGACUAUAUGCAGGAAACCCUUAUACAAUGGGAUAAGUACGAAGGGGUACAUGGCUAUAUUAUACAUACUCUAAUAGUUCCAUUUUGCCUCCUUAGCGUUUUGUUGCUUCUUGUCAGUUGAGCUCCAUGUUGUUCACAAUACUACGCAAGCUAAGUGGUUUUAGUGGGUGCUAUGAGAGCAGAAAUGUGCGAGGUGAUACUUUAACAUAAACUUCAUGUCAUGAAUUGAGCCACACAGUGGCAAAAAAUAAAAAAUAAAAACAAAUUCACAGUGAACAGCAACUUCUACUAUUUUCUAG
rnacentral:lncRNA from 1 species